rnacentral:rRNA from 1 species
GAUGAACGCUGGCGGCGUGCCUAAUACAUGCAAGUCGAGCGAAGCGGGGACGGGUGAGUAACACGUGGAUAACCUCCUAUAAGACUGGGAUAAAUUCGGGAAAACGUAACUAAACCGGAUACUUCACGAUGGAUACGCUCUGCAUUAGCUAGUUGGUAAGGUAACGGCUUACAAAGGCAACGAAGCAUAGCCGACCGGGGAGGGGGAUCUGCCACACUGGAACUGAGACACGGUCCAGACUCCUACGGGAGGCAGCAGUAGGGAAUCUUCCGCAAUGGGCGAAAGCCUGACGGAGCAACGCCGCGUGAGUGAUGAAGGUCUUCGGAUCGUAAAACUCUGUUAUUAGGGAAGCGGUACCUAAUCAGAAAGCCACGGCUAACUACGUGCCAGCAGCCGCGGUAAUAC